rnacentral:rRNA from 1 species
GCACAAGCGGUGGAGCAUGUGGUUUAAUUCGACGCAACGCGCAGAACCUUACCAGCCCUUGACAUCCCGGUCGCGGACUCCAGAGACGGAGUUCUUCAGUUCGGCUGGACCGGAGACAGGUGCUGCAUGGCUGUCGUCAGCUCGUGUCGUGAGAUGUUGGGUUAAGUCCCGCAACGAGCGCAACCCCCGUCCUUAGUUGCUACCAUUUAGUUGAGCACUCUAAGGAGACUGCCGGUGAUAAGCCGCGAGGAAGGUGGGGAUGACGUCAAGUCCUCAUGGCCCUUACGGGCUGGGCUACACACGUGCUACAAUGGCGGUGACAAUGGGACGCUAAGGGGCAACCCUUCGCAAAUCUCAAAAAGCCGUCUCAGUUCGGAUUGGGCUCUGCAACUCGAGCCCAUGAAGUUGGAAUCGCUAGUAAUCGUGGAUCAGCACGCCACGGUGAAUACGUUCCCGGGC